GAACAUUCUAAGAUAAGGUAUCUUCAAAUGAACUACUUAUUUCAUUGAUAUUUUUCAUUUUACAUUUGACAUCAGAAGUAGACAGUAACAGAACAGUUUUAAUAUUGCUUUAAUGCUGUUUUCAUAUUUCACCGCUGUUUUUAUUGGAACUGUUAAACUUUAGUGACUUCAAAAUAUCUGUGGAAUCUGGUGGUGUCUAAGUAUUACACACACACACACACACACACACACACACACACACACAACAAUAUAAAUAAAGUCACAAAAUGCCACAUCCUGUAAUCUACCAUUUUUUACAGAUGGCAAACACUGCUAGGAUGAAAAUUAAAACAGAAUAUUAUAUGAACACUUAAUUUUUUAAAUAUUCCAUCUGUUUUCUAUUAAUCUAACACAAGGAAAAGUUUAAAUACUAGCAGCUCAAAAUAAAAAUAGCUAGAUUAAGCACUCUGAAUUCUAACAAUGUCAUCAUGGACAACAUGAAAUUGAUACUAAAAAAAUAUGCAUGCCAUGUCAUGGCCAAAAACCUAUUGCCAAUGUAUGCUUGCAUAAGGGAAACUAUGUCUUGGCAGUAAACUGAAAGUCACUGAUUCUUUCUUUCUUUCUUUCUUUCUUUCUUUCUUUCUUUCUUUCUUUCUUUCUUUCUUUCUUUCUUUCUUUCUUUCUUUCUUUCUUUCUUUCUUUCGUCUUUCUUUCUUUCUUUCUUUCUCUUUCUCUUCCUUCCUUCCUUCCUUCCUUCCUUCCUUCCUUCCUUCCUUCGCUUGCUGUCUUCAUACUAACAUAGCUAAGUGACUUAAGAAGCAGCAGCAGCAGCAAGGAAUUGGCAGAGAGACAGAAGGAUGUUUUCAGUUCUGACUUGUUUCUAGUUUGUUUGGCUGUCCAGAUUUGCAGGAGGCAUGGUUAGAGCAGACCUACCUUAAAACUUCACUGAAGAAAUCAUCACUGAUUCAGUGGGCUUACUCCAAUUUGACUUACUACGUUAAGCAAAAGGAUUUCAACAAUUAUUUUUUUCACUUUCUUUUCCCUUCCUUCCUUCCUUCUUUCUUUGUUUUUGAAAGCUCUUCUGUUGGCAUGUCACUUGUUCAGCAAUCUUAAGGGGCUCAUAAACCAAAAUAGGUACUCUCGAAUAGAAUCUAGGGUCUCUUACAAGCCAGUUGGUUUUAACACAGUUCCUCCAAAAUUAACACAAGAGGGCUUCUCCUUAUGGUUGGAAUCUGCCUUUGAAAAGACUGCCAGGCAUCACAUUUCAUUAACCUUAACCCUCUUAAAAUAUUUUUUAAAGAGAAUAAAAUGGUUAUCACAGAUAUGUUGGGUAUUAUAUGGAAAAACUGCAGUAAAAUUACUUAUUCCCCUUUAAGGGAGAAAACAGCUUGGAGCCUCUCCCCUCCUUUUCUUUUUUUAAGAAUCAGAUUAAAAAGCAAGUAGUUUCACACAGCAGGUGGAAAGAAAUGUCACAUAAAUCUUUUUCUAUAGUUUGAAAAGGCUCAUGGGCUGACACAUUGGAACUCUAGAUCCAAUAUAAGUACAAUAACGGAAGAAUAAAAAAGCAGGGUGCCUCUAUUUUUAUACA
rnacentral:lncRNA from 1 species